rnacentral:rRNA from 1 species
GAAACGUUUUUUCGCUAAAGGAUGAGACUAUAUGGUAUCAGGUAGUUGGUAGGGUAAGAGCCUACCAAGCCAAUGACGCCUAGCUGGUCUGAGAGGAUGAUCAGCCACACNGGAACUGAGACACGGUCCAGACUCCUACGGGAGGCAGCAGUGGGGAAUAUUGCACAAUGGGGGAAACCCUGAUGCAGCAACGCCGCGUGGAGGAUGACGCAUUUCGGUGUGUAAACUCCUUUUAUAUAGGAAGAUAAUGACGGUACUAUAUGAAUAAGCACCGGCUAACUCCGUGCCAGCAGCCGCGGUAAUACGGAGGGUGCAAGCGUUACUCGGAAUCACUGGGCGUAAAGCGCGCGCAGGCGGCCUUUUAAGUUGGAUGUGAAAGCCUAUGGCUCAACCAUAGAACUGCAUCCAAAACUAUUAGGCUAGAGUGUGGGAGAGGAAGAUGGAAUUAGUUGUGUAGGGUNAAAUCCGUAGAGAUACUAGGAAUACCAAA